GACGAACGCUGGCGGCGUGGAUUAGGCAUGCAAGUCGAACGGUAUCAUCCUUUCGGGGGUGAGAGAGUGGCGAACUGGUGAGUAACACGUAGGUUAUCUACCCUCAAGACGGGGACAACCCAGGGAAACUUGGGCUAAUACCGGAUGUGAGCAACUUUUAGUUGUUUGAAAGGUGGCGUAAGCUGUCGCUUGGGGAUGAGCCUGCGUCCUAUUAGUUAGUUGGUGAGGUAACGGCUCACCUAGGCAAUGAUAGGUAGGCGGCCUUAACGGGUGGUCGCCCACACUGGGAUUGAGAUACGGCCCAGACUCCUACGGGAGGCAGCAGUCGAGAAUAGUCUACAAUGGUCGGAAGACUGAUAGUGCGACGCCGCGUGAACGAUGAAUCCCUUCGGGGUGUAAAGUUCUUUUAUAUGUGAGCAGUGCUUCUUAUAUUAAACAGUAUGGGGAGAGAGAUAUUAGCAUAUGAAUAAGCAACGGCUAACUCCGUGCCAGCAGCCGCGGUAAAACGU
rnacentral:rRNA from 1 species